UAGAUCCAAACCUAUGUGCAUGAAAUUACCUUUAUAUUGCACAACAGUUCUAGCAUUAAUUUACUAACUGUGUUUCAUUUUCUCUUUGAGAACACUUCCCACUGAGGUGUGUUUUAGAGAGGAGUUGUUGUUGAGGUUGGCUUAGUGAGAUAAGAUGGUGGGUGCUCUGUCUAUUGCAGGUUCAUCAGUGCUGGAAUGUAGAGGUGAGCAGUUCCUUCACUGGCCGUGAGGGAGUGGAGGCUCAGUCUGAGCAAAAGGUUGCAAGAAGCACCGUAGGAAGAAAAGCGGAUUUUAAAAUGAGGUUUGGUUUCUUCAUAGGCUUGAUUGAGAAAAUUCUAUCUAGGAAUGUGUCAUCUCUGCCUUCUCGACUUAAGGCUUAGUGAAAAAGAAGUAGCAGUUGAGGACACAACACAAUGAGCCUCACUGCUGCUUAAGAAUUUUAAAUUUGGAAUUUCCCUCUUUGCAUUCUACAGCUAUAGAUGCACCUUUACA